rnacentral:rRNA from 1 species
CGGACAGAAGGGAGCUUGCUCCCGGAUGUUAGCGGCGGACGGGUGAGUAACACGUGGGUAACCUGCCUGUAAGACUGGGAUAACUCCGGGAAACCGGAGCUAAUACCGGAUAGUUCCUUGAACCGCAUGGUUCAAGGAUGAAAGACGGUUUCGGCUGUCACUUACAGAUGGACCCGCGGCGCAUUAGCUAGUUGGUGGGGUAAUGGCUCACCAAGGCGACGAUGCGUAGCCGACCUGAGAGGGUGAUCGGCCACACUGGGACUGAGACACGGCCCAGACUCCUACGGGAGGCAGCAGUAGGGAAUCUUCCGCAAUGGACGAAAGUCUGACGGAGCAACGCCGCGUGAGUGAUGAAGGUUUUCGGAUCGUAAAGCUCUGUUGUUAGGGAAGAACAAGUGCGAGAGUAACUGCUCGCACCUUGACGGUACCUAACCAGAAAGCCACGGCUAACUACGUGCCAGCAGCCGCGGUAAUACGUAGGUGGCAAGCGUUGUCCGGAAUUAUUGGGCGUAAAGGGCUCGCAGGCGGUUUCUUAAGUCUGAUGUGAAAGCCCCCGGCUCAACCGGGGAGGGUCAUUGGAAACUGGGAAACUUGAGUGCAGAAGAGGAGAGUGGAAUUCCACGUGUAGCGGUGAAAUGCGUAGAGAUGUGGAGGAACACCAGUGGCGAAGGCGACUCUCUGGUCUGUAACUGACGCUGAGGAGCGAAAGCGUGGGGAGCGAACAGGAUUAGAUACCCUGGUAGUCCACGCCGUAAACGAUGAGUGCUAAGUGUUUAGGGGGUUUCCGCCCCUUAGUGCUGCAGCUAACGCAUUAAGCACUCCGCCUGGGGGAGUACGGUCGCAAGACUGAAACUCAAAGGAAUUGACGGGGGGCCCGCACAAGCGGUGGAGCAUGUUGGUUUAAUUCGAAGCAACGCGAAGAAACCCUUACCAGGUCUUGACAUCCUCUGACAACCCUAGAGAUAGGGCUUUCCCUUCGGGGACAGAGUGACAGGUGGUGCAUGGUUGUCGUCAGCUGUGUCGUGAGAUGUUGGGUUAAGUCCCGCAACGAGCGCAACCCUUGAUCUUAGUUGCCAGCAUUUAGUUGGGCACUCUAAGGUGACUGCCGGUGACAAACCGGAGGAAAGGGGGGAUG